rnacentral:rRNA from 1 species
AAUGCCGGAUGCUCCAACAUGACGCAUGUUCUUUCGGGAAAGAUUCAUCGGUAUGGGAUGGGGUCGCGUCCUAUCAGCUUGAUGGCGGGGUAACGGCCCACCAUGGCUUCGACGGGUAGCCGGCCUGAGAGGGCGACCGGCCACAUUGGGACUGAGAUACGGCCCAGACUCCUACGGGAGGCAGCAGUGGGGAAUAUUGCACAAUGGGCGCAAGCCUGAUGCAGCGACGCCGCGUGCGGGAUGACGGCCUUCGGGUUGUAAACCGCUUUUGACUGGGAGCAAGCCCUUCGGGGUGAGUGUACCUUUCGAAUAAGCACCGGCUAACUACGUGCCAGCAGCCGCGGUAAUACGUAGGGUGCAAGCGUUAUCCGGAAUUAUUGGGCGUAAAGGGCUCGUAGGCGGUUCGUCGCGUCCGGUGUGAAAGUCCAUCGCUUAACGGUGGAUCCGCGCCGGGUACGGGCGGGCUUGAGUGCGGUAGGGGAGACUGGAAUUCCCGGUGUAACGGUGGAAUGUGUA